UGAAAUCAAAGGGGCCCCCGAUUAGUGCUCAACUCUAUACUGGAAAGGCUCAAAAUAGCAGUAGGAAACAUUUCUCAAAAGAAAAAAAGCAGUAGCAAACGACGCACAACGUAGGCCCUACCCACACGUCGACCUCCUACAACUGCUCCGCUUGAUCUACGGUAGUGUGCGGUGGCGUCCCUAUGGUUUAUAUCAACUGUUGCUGCGGAUGCGCGUUGGCCGGCCGCAGCCGCCGGUCGGGUACUCGCCGUCGUGUCCGGGAUGCAGGUAUAUGGAGGCUCCAACAGCUCCUCUAACUGAGGAACCCUAGAACAUGUGAACAUGUGCAUCUUCCGGCCGGACAAGGUGAAUACGUAGAGACUAGUCAUCCUGAGCGUCGCCCUGUCCAGGAUGGAUCCAGAUCAAGGUCCUGGUCCGGAUCAGGUUGCCCAUGGACGUUUUGAAAGUUCUGCACGGGCUCGGAUGAGUACUACAUCUGACGCAUCUAGGUAUUUACAGUUCUUGUUCAAGGAAGGUUUCUUAGUUUUAGUUUUCUGCCUCAUGAAGAUAGAGCUUUGGUGUUUUUGCAUAUGAAUUACUUUCACUUUAUUUUAAAAAAGCCAUUGACGAAUUGUCAUAAGUAACACAUCCCCCUAUGCUGUUAAUUUUGUUGGCAUAUCUGGAUCAGCUGCAAACACUUGCAACACAGUAAGAAGAAAACAAGACAAUGAUAAUAUCGUAAAAGAAUACAUAUGUGAGGUUUCGAUGGGAUGGCGGUGACUUAACAUUUUUCCCUUAGAGCAUCUAUUAUGAAACUUAGCAAAUAUGACCCUUUAAAUGUCCGUGGACAUGCUCGAUCAGUGAUCGGACGUGGCCGUCUUGACCCUCUAAACUUUUUUUACCGAACAGUGACCGAAAAAGACGUUUAAGUCAUUUGAAAAGGAUAUAAGGGGUCCAGCUGCAGAUGCUACGAAACACAAAUUAUGUCUACACUAGGGGCCCAUGAAUUCUAGCUUCUCCCCGUGCCCCCAAAAUCUCAGGACCGGCCCUGAGUAGACGUACUUUAAUUAUCAGUUGCGGGAUAUUGCUCUUGCUCGCCACAAAAUAUUUUUCCAACGCGGGAUGCUAUCCACGUCACUUGCGGGUGGCACACUUUGUGCAGUGCCCUCCACUGAUAAGAUUUUGUAUAGUGUAUGCCUCCUUCUUGAGAAGUGGCCUGAUCCCCUCUACACAUUUUAUAUUUCCUCUACCGUGACGCCCUCUUCCUCUUCCUCCGACUCCUCUCAAAAUUGGUCAUCCGCUACAUAUCUCUCUUCCCGAUUCCAUUUGAUCGAUUAGAGAUAGACGAGGAGACACGUUGUAGGUGAGAAUUCAUUUCUGAAUUCAACAUCGUGUGUAUGUACGUGUGAGCAUGCAUGGAUACAUGAUUGUUUGUGUGUGGCAUGACAAACGUGUCGGGAGAUUGAAUUUUUGGUUGCUUGUUGAAAAAUUUCAGGUAAUACAAAUGAGUGCCAAAUAUCAUUAAAAUUUUGAUUAAUUUCCAUUUCGUCUACUUGGUGUCACUGGAUAUGUCCAUUUUUAGCAAAGGUCUUGCCAAUUUUCUUUAUUUUCCAUAUUCUAAGAUCAAAGAGUAAUCUAUUAUGUUAUGUGCGUAUGUUGUAGGUUUGGGCGUUGAAUGAUGGAUCGUAGUUGGAUGUACUCCAUACCACAGGCAUCCAAUGAUUUUGUUAAUGGAGUUCUUACAAUUUGCGAAGGAUCAUGUUAGGAAAAGGAAUUUGAAGAAAAUAAGUUGUCAUGCGUUAUUUGCGAGAAUGAUGUUAUGUACGCAAUUGAAUCGGGAGAGUUGCAUAAGCACUUGUUGGCUAAUGGUUUCAUGUGUGGUUAUUCGACAUGGACAAGUCAUGAUGAGGAUGGGAUGUCAUGUGAAGGAGCGGAACAUGACGAGGAACAAAAAUGGGUGAUAGAUGGACAUGAUUAACAAUCUAACGGUGAUGAAUACAACAAGUCCAGGGAAGUUAUUGUGUACUUUGUUCAAAGAAUUCCCUCCCCCACUCGUGCAGCCACCGCCACCGCCACCAUUAACCUCUUCUCGACUACGUGCUCAGCUCCUUAGCCGCCACCAAAGGCGCUGUUGCGUGCUCGCCUGUCGCCGCCGCCGCUGUCGUUGUGCUGCUGCCGCACGUAGUAGACCUCACCUUGCCGACAUGCUCGCCUCCUG
rnacentral:lncRNA from 1 species